AAGCAAUUCUCCUGCCUCAGCCUCCCAAGUAGCUGGGAUUACAGAUCAUGAACUGGCAGCCAUGUGGAAAGAAGACUAGACUGCGAAUCACUUAGGAUCCCACCCUCGGUUUAGUCUAGAAUACUCUGCGAAUCAGCUUUUUGGCCCUAGGUAGGAAAGAGACAAAUGGAAGCAAAAUAGCAAAAUGGUGAAGAGGAGGGUUCUAGAGGCAGAGAGCCCUGCAGUCCUGAGUCCUGAGUCCACCGUUUAACAGAGUGACUUUGCUCAGCCUGUGGAUUAUAAUGAAACUUGCCUGUUAUAGGAUCCAGUUUUUUAGGUGGUAGCAACAUGCUCAAGGAAGAUGCAGCCCCUUCCUCCAGCCUGAGAGAAUAAAGCAUCAUUGGCUUAUGCCAACCAUGGCAAUCCCAUUCCCCUUUUCUCAUGAUUGAUUUGGGAAUGGGCAAGUGACCCAGUUCUAACCAAUGAGACGAAAGAAAAAGUCUAUUGGUCAGCUUAUCUCAGAAGAUUUUUGUUUCCUGCUAUAAAGAGAAACAGUAAGUUCCUUCCUGCCUGACUUAAAUGCAAUUGUGUGCAAACAUGUUACUUGGAGCUACAGCAACGAUUCUGUGACCAUGAGGCAAUAAGCCAAGGACAAAGGAUAGAAUAGUGAAAAGACAGAGUAUUGGAUUUUUUUUAUGAUAUCAUUGAACUGCUGGACCAAUGUGGAACCAUCUACUUUUAGUCUUUCAUGAUUUGUGAGAUGAUUAAACAUUUCUUUUUUUUAGCCAUUAUUUCUUUUCUGUUACUUGCAACUGAAGACAUCCUACAUAAUACAAACACUAUCCAACUUGGAUUGUAAUUUAUCUAUUUUCAGAUCUGUGUGUUCUGUCUUACUGAUUUUUGUAUUCUUAGCACUGAGUAUAAGGCUGCUACUUAGUAAGACUUCAAUAAAUGACUGUUUAAAAAGG
rnacentral:lncRNA from 1 species